CAGUUUCUUCCUGUUCUGCUUAUACUGCUGCUCAAUUUUCUACCUUCUUCACAACCGGUUUAUUCGCUCUCGGCCUCUUACCCUUACAAGUACAAGUUCACGACGAAUAGGGGUGUCAAUUACUUUGUGAGAUCAUCCAAGUUCGAGCAGGAUUACCCGCUUAAUAGCCCCGAGCGGCAGAGGGUAGAAGCACAAGUUAAUCGAGAUUAUUACUCUAUAGUGUCUCAGAACUGUCGGUAUGAGUUGCAGAGGCAACAAUGGGGUUUGAUCCAUGAAAAACCGCACUGUGACAUGUUGCGGAAGUUCGAGUCAGCUGCCUAUUAAACCAAGAUUGGCGAACCUACCAAGUCAAUGAAUGAACCUGCAAGAAGCUCGGUUGUAGAUCGAUGACAGAAACAUACAUGGAGGAUGCCCGAUGCAUAGGAGCCAUUUGGUAACACAGUUCAAGCUUUUUGCUGAUUGCUACAUUAACUGUUUGAUCUAUACACCUACCUUAUAUGAAAGUCUUCUUCCUCCCCCUCCAAGCCAUAUCUUUAAUACUGUUCUUAUUAUUAAUAACCUCCGGAGGUAUUCAUGUUUAGUACAAAAUCACAACAGUUAUUGUUUUUCGGCACUAUACAAGUGAGCGUCUCAUGGUCUUGUUCAAAACGAAGAAUGUAGAAUGUUGAAAACUUUGUUUCUCUA